CUACAAAGCCUCUGAGUGUUUGAGCUGCACCUCUUAACUGUGUGUGUAGGUUUUGUGACUUUUUAAGCAUUUUUAGUGGAAUAUCUGACAAAUAUUAUGGCUUGCUGUGUGGUACAGACCAUCCACAUUGUGCUUCAGUUUUGGUGCUCAGAUGACUUGUUCUGCCCCACUUUAACAGAAAUGGAAAAGAAGGCUCUAUCUGGCAGUAAAGCAGCUCUCCCAUGCUUUUUUUUAAUGUUUCUUCUUUUGUCUUUCUGAAGAUGGAAGAAUGUUUUCUCUUUUUUUGUACCUUUGUUGGAUAGUUUGGCAUCCUAUCUAUAUGAUGCAGUUACAGUGUGUGCUUGAGUUUGUCUUUUGUUUUCACUUUCACUAUGACAAGUAAAAAUAAAGUUAUAUUUAUUUGCUGCAGGAGUGCAGCAAGAACAGAAAUCUGCUUGUAGUCUUCUGUGUUUAAAAAAAAAAAAACUAUACUAUGUGAAGAAACCAAGAAGACAGAUGAAGACACACAACUUCUAUAUCAGAAAAUAAUAUAAAAUAUUGACACUGGUAACUUUUAAGAAUAUUUCCCAUUUUCCUUUUUCCUUUUGUCUGCUGACUUGUCCUCCAUCUCAUUCUGUGGACCUCCCUAAGUCCUCUCUUGCUGCCUGUCGCUCAACCUCAGCCGUCUCUCCCUGCUGUGUGUUGUGUUAUGUGGUGAUAUCCAGGGUUCCUGUGUGUUUAGACCGAGCUAGGGCAAAGAUUAAAAGACUCUGAAGUAACUUAAUCUCUUAAAUCUAUUGACAUAAACUCUUUCGCACACAGCGUACAUCUCUAUUUUCCUGUGGAGAUACAAACAUCUGGACUCACGUCCAUGUACACACACGCACACAUGCACGCACACUUGCCUGGUUUCUCUACAUCCUCAAAGAUACAAACAUCUGUACUUUCCAGCACACACAUACACAACCCUGCCAAAGACAAAGGCAUGCUUGCGUGCACAUUCGACUUGAUCUUCAAAAGAUGAAAAACAUCUGUCUGGCCCAACACACUUGUACAGAUGUGCACACACACAGUGACUGUUUACAUCAGUGUGCACCGGCCAGUUGAUGAACAUAAUCCUUAUCUGAUUAUGUUCAUCAAUAAACAGCUUGGCGUGGAACUAUGUGAGCAAUGGCGAUGAUAACUUUGGCAUCCAGAUGUGGAUUACACUUAAAUCCAAGCUGUUUAUGUUUAUCAGGCUAACUUCCAGUUGUUCAUGGGAGCAGCAGCAUCCAGAUAGAAGGAUUUAUCGUGAACUGACAAAAA